AGUAACUAGGACAUUGUAGGUGCUCAAUAAAUGUUUGUCGAAUAUCAAUGACAGCAGGAGGCAGUAAAUGGUCCCUCUUUGUAGGGCCUACAGCUGUGCCUGAGUAGGAUGUACAGAAGUCCUGCAUACGUGUGAAAUGUCUCCAGGAAGCUGCACUGGAGGGGACAGGAAAUGGACAAAUGCUUUUGGAAUCCUGACCUGACAUGAAAAAAGUUCACCUGAAGCUGCCAUCCUGGAAGACUAUGAGAUGGAGAUGCCCAAGAAGCCCCAGGUAUUCCUAAUCCCAAUUGUUUAAGUCUUUCCAGUGUUAACCACCAGAUAUGUGAUGGAUUAAGGACUCCAGAUUAUUCCAGUUCCCAGCUGUCUUAGUCAGGGUUCUCCGGAGAAGUUAUCACAUGAUUACAGAGGCUGGCAAGUCUGACGUCUGCAGGAUAGACCAGCAAGUCGGAGACCCAUGGAAGUUGAUGCUGCAGCUCAAGUCCAAAGGCAAUCUGCUGGCAGAA